AGAAGAUAACAGGGACCACAGCAGAAGUUUCACAUCGUGGCCCCUGUCAGAUGCCAGUGAAUCUGUAAAUUUCUGCU
rnacentral:ribozyme from 1 species